UACGUACGUGGCAAGCGUUAUCCGGAAUUAUUGGGCGUAAAGCGCGCGUAGGCGGUUUUUUAAGUCUGAUGUGAAAGCCCACGGCUCAACCGUGGAGGGUCAUUGGAAACUGGAAAACUUGAGUGCAGAAGAGGAAAGUGGAAUUCCAUGUGUAGCGGUGACAUGCGCAGAGAUAUGGAGGAACACCAGUGGCGAAGGCGACUUUCUGGUCUGUAACUGACGCUGAUGUGCGAAAGCGUGGGGAUCAAACAGGAUUAGAAACCCUCGUAGUCC
rnacentral:rRNA from 1 species